rnacentral:rRNA from 1 species
CCCUUAGAUGUUCUGGGCUGCACGCGCGCUACACUGAAGCGUUCAACGAGUAUUCACCUUGCCCGGGAGGGUUGGGUAAUCUUUUGAAAACGCUUCGUGAUGGGGAUAGAUUAUUGCAAUUAUUAAUCUUCAACGAGGAAUUCCUAGUAAGCGCGAGUCAUCAGCUCGUGCUGAUUACGUCCCUGCCCUUUGUACACACCGCCCGUCGCUCCUACCGAUUGAAUGCUCAGGUGAGCCAUUCGGACCUUCAUCAUGCCGGUUUCCGGUUUUGAUGAGGGAAAGUCUUGCGAACCUUAUCAUUUAGAGGAAGGAGAAGUCGUAACA